CGGACAGCUACAUGCCCUGGAGCACGCACACUCUGCCAGGUUCCUGGACAGCACUACUGUCCCUUGCUCGCUCAGGGUUCAAAAAUGAGUUUUUAAUGCUGGAAUUCAGGUAAUAAUAUACGAGGCAUUUACAGGACCUGGAGCCAGCAGGAGCUGAAGCACAUGUCUGCAGACCAGGUAUUUUUCUGGAGCCAGCUGCUCUCCAAGAAGAUAAGUUAACAGUUGCCAGUCAUGGCCAGUGUGGAAUACUUCUGUCUUGUACUUUUGGAUGUCACCAGGCAAGUUUUCUUGGUAUGAUUUUGGCAUCUGUCCUUAGCCAAAUCCUGAGGUCUCCAUUUGGUCCCCUUGAUCACAGUAUGUGGAGUAAUUAAACUGUGGUACUGCUUGGUUUCUAUAGUAAGGAAAAAAGUAAAGGCAUGCAACUAUUCUUUCUUUUCCUUAUUUACACUCUAGAGUUGAUGGUGAGGCAUCAUUACUUAUAGAAGAACCUUGGCCUUUCAUAUUGAUAAGGUCUUCUGUCAAACCUAUCUUUCUAUGCAAAAUCUCAUCUUCUAUUUGUACUAUGGAUUCAAUUGCCAGAGAGGCAGUGACACUCUCUGUAGGUAAAAGAGUUUUGAUGGAUUAGUA
rnacentral:lncRNA from 12 species